AAACCAUGUCAUUGGCCGAAAUGCUAUGAAUAUCUAAUGAUGUAUGAGAACUGCAUUGAAAAGUCCUUGAAAAAACAGCACAUUACAUUGCAUAAAAUUAGAUUAUUACAUACCCAGAUAAGGGGCGGACCAUUAGAAAUCCCGGGAGGGGGGGUGAAAAUUCCAAAAAAAAAAUUCGUGCGAAGAAAAAUGCCUGGAAAAAAAAUUCGUGCAGCCAUUACGUCAGAGAAAAAAAAUUCGUGCAAGCAAACAGCAAAGUACAAAUAGUCUUGAAAAAAAAUUCGUGCAGAGGUUAAAUGCAUUAAAAAAAUUCCUGCAGAGACAUGAGACUGAAAAAAAAAUUCGUGCCGCAAAAAUUUU